GUGCUCACUUCCGCAGCACACAUCCUAAAAUUGGAACGAUACAGAGAUUGGCAUGGCUCCUACACAAGGAGGACACACAAAUUCGUGAAGUCUUCCAUAUUUUU